AUACUUGCUGUCAUGGGAGACCCCAUGAUCAUGAAGGUGGUUUUCCCAUUGGGUGAGGCUUAUCCAUUGCACUCCGGAUGUGCUGACAGCUGUAAUUUCCCGAAAUGAAGGAAAGUGUAUAAUUUGUAGUAGUGAGGGACUGUGUUUGCUCUCUUCCCUA